UACGUAGGGUGCGAGCGUUGUCCGGAAUUAUUGGGCGUAAAGGGCUCGUAGGCGGUCCAUCGCGUCGGGAGUGAAAAGCUGGGGCUUAACCCCAGUCCUGCUUCCGAUACGGGUGGACUAGAGGUAGGUAGGGGAGAACGGAAUUCCCAGUGUAGAGGUGAAAUUCGUAGAUAUUGGGAGGAACACCGGUGGCGAAGGCGGCCAUCUGGGAGGGCACUGACGCUGAGACGCGAAAGCGUGGGGAGCAAACAGG
rnacentral:rRNA from 1 species